GCGGUGCUUGUUGAAGUAGGCGCCUAUAAUCGCCAAAAUUUGAGGGUGUAUCAUCCCCAAACCAGCACCUGAAGAUAGGAUUUUUUUUAAUAUGUUAUAUUUGAAUUGACAAAUAACAGCAACUAAACUGUUUUAAUGAAAUCGAUGCCAGAUAUCUCGCUUAAAACAGAUGGAGCGACACCCUAGCCCACAGUUACCUGCCAGAACUACCCAAGCCCAGCCUCUGUCGAUGGGCAGAUCUUGAUCCCCCGUCACAUCACUCGCAUCUGGCUCUUGGACGUUCAGCUUACUAGCGUCUUUCUCCAUAUCAUGAGAGUCUACCGUAGUAUCAUCGUCCUUCUGAAUAACUUUAUCCUUCAUUUUCGUAUGUGUCUUUCACAUUAUGCUAUGUACUGGUUGCUAUAUUGAGUCUUUCUGCGUAAACGAUCCAAACACUAAUGUUGCCCAUAUAUAAUCCGCCUGGUUUA